rnacentral:lncRNA from 1 species
CACAAAUGAAGAUUAUGUGUCAAAGGCUGCAACUUUUUGCACAACAGAGAGAUAUUCUUGGCUUGCAAACUGUGAGCGCGAGAGUUUCUCUUAGAACGCCUUCAAGUUCAAUGGUAAAUGAAUCUGUUAUGGUUGGUAGGAAGGAUGAUAAAGAGAGACUCAUUAGUAUGUUGAUAUCUGACAGUGGCACUACCAAUAGUAGUGUUGGUGUGGUUGCAAUUUUGGGUAUGGGCGGUGUUGGCAAAACCACUCUUGCCCAACUUCUUUAUAAUGAUAAAGAAGUUCAAGACCAUUUUGAUCUGAAAGUCUGGGUUUGUGUAUCGGAGGAUUUCGAUAUUCUGAGAGUAACUAAAACCAUUCAUGAAUCUGUCACUUCAAGAGGUGGUGAAAACAAUAAUCUUGAUUUUCUUCGAGUUGAAUUGAAUAAAAACUUGAGGGAUAAAAGAUUUUUGUUAGUGUUGGAUGACCUGUGGAAUGACAAUUAUAAUGAUUGGGAUGAGUUAGUAACUCCACUGAUUAACGGCAAAAAAGGAAGUAGGGUGAUCAUCACAACACGCCAACAAAAAGUUGCGGAGGUUGCACACACGUUUCCUAUUCACAAAGUAGAUCCUCUAUCAGAUGAUGACUGUUGGUCGUUACUUUCAAAGCAUGCAUUCGGAAGUGAAGACCGUCGAGGUAGAAAGUACCCAAAUCUAGAAGAAAUUGGUAGAAAGAUUGCCAAAAAGUGUGGUGGAUUGCCCAUAGCUGCUAAAACACUCGGAGGAAUUUUGCGUUCAAAGGUAGAUGCAAAAGAGUGGACUGCAAUUCUAAAUAGUGACAUAUGGAACUUACCAAAUGAUACAAUUUUACCUGCUUUGCGUCUAAGUUAUCAAUAUCUUCCCUCACAUUUGAAAAGAUGUUUUGCCUAUUGCUCAAUUUUUCCGAAGGAUUUUCCACUUGACAAGAAGGAAUUGAUUUUGUUAUGGAUGGCAGAAGGCUUCCUAGAGCAUUCUCAACGUAAUAAAACAGCUGAGGAAGUAGGCCAUGACUACUUUAUUGAAUUGUUAUCCAGGUCCUUAAUUCAACAAUCAAAUGAUGAUGGAAAAGAAAAAUUUGUUAUGCACGACCUUGUCAAUGAUUUAGCCUUAGUGGUGUCAGGAACAAGUUGCUUCAGGCUUGAAUUUGGUGGUAACAUGUCUAAAAAUGUUCGUCAUUUUUCAUAUAAUCAAGGAGAUUACGACUUUUUCAAGAAGUUUGAGGUUCUCUACGAUUUCAAGUGCUUGCGAAGCUUUCUACCCAUUAACCUACGCAACUGGGUAGGAGGAUAUUACUUAUCUAGUAAGGUUGUUGAAGAUUUAAUACCCAAACUCAAACGGUUACGCGUGCUAUCCUUAAAAUAUUAUCGAAACAUCAACAUACUGCCAGAAUCAGUUGGUAGUUUGGUGGAGUUGAGGUAUUUAGAUCUCUCAUUCACUGGAAUUAAAAGCUUACCUAAUGCAACAUGCAAUCUUUACAAUCUGCAAACCUUGAAUUUAACACAAUGUGAAAACCUCACUGAGUUGCCACUACAUUUUGGAAAGUUAAUUAACUUACGGCACCUUGAUAUUAGUAAGACAAAUAUAAAGGAGAUGCCAAUGCAAAUUGUUGGACUCAAUAACCUGCAAACAUUAACUGAUUUUUCAGUCGGCAAGCAAGACACCGGGUUAAGUGUCAAAGAGGUUGGUAAGUUUCCUAACCUGCGGGGAAAACUUUGUAUCAAGAACCUGCAGAAUGUCAGCGAUGCCAUUGAGGCGUAUGAUGUCAACAUGAGAAAAAAAGAACAUAUUGAGGAGUUAGAGUUACAAUGGAGCAAACAAACGGAAGAUUCGCGAACAGAGAAGGAUGUGCUUGAUAUGUUACAACCUUCAUUUAACCUUAGGAAGCUGAUUAUUAGGUUGUAUGGUGGAACAAGCUUUCCGAGUUGGUUGGGUGAUCCUUUGUUUUCUAACAUGGUGUCCUUGUGUAUCUCGAAUUGUGAAUAUUGUGUAACACUUCCACCACUAGGCCAACUACCUUCUCUCAAGGACUUGACUAUUGAGGGUAUGACAAUGGAAACAAUUGGGCUAGAGUUCUAUGGGAUGACAGUAGAACCUUCCAUUUCCUUAUUCCGACCAUUUCAAUCUCUCGAGUCUUUACAAAUCUCCAGUAUGCCGAAUUGGAAAGAAUGGAUACACUAUGAAAAUGAUGAGUUUAAUUUUCCUCGCCUUAGAACUUUGUGCUUAAGCCAAUGUCCUAAACUAAAGGGACAUUUGCCUAGCAGUCUUCCUUCAAUAGACGAAAUCAAUAUAACUGGUUGUGACCGUCUCUUGACAACACCACCAACUACUUUGCAUUGGCUCUCCUCAUUAAACGAAAUAGGUAUACAAGGGUCUACAGGAAGUUCCCAAUGGUUGUUACUUGAGAUUGAUUCUCCUUGUGUGCUUCAAAGUGCAACAAUCAGUUAUUGUGAUACCCUGUUUUCUUUACCCAAAAUUAUUAGGAGCAGCAUUUGUCUUCGAUUCUUGGAACUUUAUGAUCUUCCAUCUCUCGCUGCUUUUCCAACAGAUGGUCUACCCACUUCAUUGCAGUACAUUAGAAUUGAUGAUUGUCCGAAUUUAGCAUUCCUGCCACUUGAAACAUGGGGCAAUUACACAUCUCUUGUGACUUUGCACUUAUGGAAUAGUUGUUAUGCACUUACCUCAUUCCCUUUGGAUGGUUUCCCAGCCCUCCAAGAUCUUUUCAUUUGUCGCUGUAAAAAUCUGGAAUCCAUUUUUAUUUCAAAAAAUUCUUCCCAUCUCCCGUCAACCCUCCAAUCAUUUGAGGUAUAUGAAUGUGAUGAACUUAGAUCAUUGACUCUACCAAUAGACACCCUGAUCUCUCUUGAACGUUUGUCCCUCGGAGAUCUUCCAGAACUAACUUUACCAUUUUGUAAAGGAGCUUGCCUACCUCCCAAAUUACGAAGCAUUUUUAUUCGAUCAGUGAGAAUAGCAACGCCUGUAGCUGAAUGGGGUCUCCAACAUCUUACUUCUCUUUCAAGUUUGUAUAUUGGAGGUGACGAUGAUAUUGUUAACACCUUGCUGAAGGAGCGGUUGCUGCCAAUUUCACUUGUGUCUUUGAGUAUUUCUAAUCUCUGUGAAAUAAAAUCCAUUGAUGGAAAUGGACUCCGACACCUAUCCUCUCUUGAAACACUUUGUUUAAAUGACUGUCCAAGACUUGAGUCUCUUUCAAAAGACACUUUUCCAUCCUCUCUUAAGAUACUGCGCAUCUGGAAAUGCCCUCUGUUAGAAGCAAACUAUAAAAGUCAGAGGUGGGAACAUUUGUCCAUCCCAGUCUUGAAAAUAAAUAACGAAGUGAUAAUAUGAGGGAAGGGACGGAAAAUUUGCAAUCCUGUUUCAGGUAUAAUUCUCUUUUAUGCAUCUAUCCAUGAAGAAUUGUUCAAUUUUUUCUGUGUAACAAUUCAUAAAACUGUGGUAACUGUAGUCAAGUUCAUUUAUAAUAACCUACAAACUGUGGUAAAACACCAUUUCUUGAGAUUUUUAAGUUAAUGGGUCUAAGGUACCGUUUGGCCCGGCUUUUUUUCAGCUUCUCUACAUUUUUAAGGAGAAGCUAGGUCAAACACAAUAUCAAUAAAGUACCUUCGAAAAAAAGUACUUUUUUUAGAAUGCAUAAAAUUAAAUGGAAUGAACUUUAACCAAAAGUUGUUAAACGCUACUUCAAAAAACUACUUCUCCAUAAUUUAUUUCAGAAACACCUCUCUUCAUGCAUGCAACCUUUUCUUUUAUUUUUUAAUAUUAUUUUUCAAUUUGUUUUUUUAUUCCUUUUUUUUUAACCGGUCCAUAUAAAUUUUUUUAAAGGAGGAUCAAUUUAAUUUUAUCAUCUAUUUUUGAAGGAAUUUUAUUAUCCUUUUAUCACUUAUAUAUUUAAUUUUAAUAUCGUUUAAUUAUCAAAACCUCACAAAUAUUUUUAUUCCCUUUCUUCAAUCUCACAAAUAUACACACACACGCAUUAGCGUUUAAAGUAAUAUUUUAUGUCUGUAUGUCUGUAUUUUUUGUUACGCUAAUGCGUAUAAUUUUUUUAGUGUUGCGUAUUGCGUACAAUUAUUAUUUUUAUAAAAUUUUGAUUUUAAUUAAAAGUACAAGUAUAGAUGCCUAAAAAAAUUAUACUUAUAUAUAUUUUACACAUUUAUAUUGUAACAAACUAUGCAUAUCUUUUUCUUAUUAAAAAAACUAAACAUAUCUUUUUCAAUGACACCAACAAUGUAACAAAUAUAAUAUCAUAUAAUAUAAAUUCUUAUGUUUUUAAAUGACACAAAAAAUAUGAUAUUCUUAUAACAAAAUUUGUUAUACAGUAUAAUUGGAAAAGAAAAAAUAAACUAUUCUCUAGCUUAGCUCAGUUGAUAUAGACAAUGUAUAAAUAUAUGCAAGGUCGCGGGUUCGAACCCCAGACACCACAAAAAAAUAAUAAAUUCAAAGUUUUGUACGAUAUUUUGCCAAACAACUUUAACUUAAAAAUAACUUUAGAACUAAAAAAAAAAUUAAGAAACCAAACAGCUUUAGCUUUUUCCUUAAAGAGCUUUAUUUUAAAGUAGCUUUCAGACCGAAAAAAAGUCUGGCCAAACGGUAGACGUUGUUACGCAAUUUUCUCAACAAGUAGAAGUAGAUUAAAAUAAGAAUCCAGAUUGAUUCUUGGUUCAAUGUAAUGCCAACUUGUUCCAGUAAAAUAUAUCUAUAUCCUAAGGUAAUAACUUCAAUGUCUGUUUUAUGCAACAUGCACCUCAAUGCGAUUUACAACUUGUUCCUUGAGACAUAUCUUUGUUGAAAUAAAAAUAAAGAACAGUUCACAGAUAUUUUAUACAUUUACAUGGAUAAAUAAAUACAAUUACAAUUGCAAUUUACAACUUUAUCUUUGUGACAAGAACAAAAUAUUCUUUCUUAAAAUCCUAUUGAAAACCAGUUUAAAUUUUUAAAAUCAUAUUCUUGAUCCUAGUUGAGAUUAAACUUAUAAUGUUUUCGAAGCCAUUGUUAAUUUUUAUUCUUUUGUUGUUAAUAGGUUUGUCAUCGGUAAGGCGUGCAAAGUCCAUACACAGAGAUCUCGUUAUAAGAACAAGAGUUGCUGGCAACAUAAAUGUAUGUCACAAAGCUUCAGUUUCAGUUUGUAGUUACUUAUCUAUUUUGAUUUCUUUUCUCCAUAUUUUGAUUAGUUUUCUUUUAAUGAAGAAGCUAAAUUAGAUUACCGAAAUUGGCAUCGGGGAGAAUCGAACCUCGGAUCUUGAGGAGGAACGCACUCUAAGGUCCUAAGUCAACAUCACCCGUCAAUCCAAGUGGGUUAUAUUUUUCUUAGUUUAUCUGUGUAUUUUUGUUCAGUACAGUUUUUAUAGAUUUAAUUCAUAAGCACUAACUGUGACAAUAUUUACCUUAUUAAUCAAUCAUAACUAUUUGAUGAUUAAACAAAUUUUACUUUCAUCUGAAGUGCAUAUGAUUAGUUGGUAUUUGGUUAGCCUUUUGUUGAAAGCAUAUAACUUAAAAGUUGUGAAGCACCGAUACAAACACGGACACGUCGACAUUGUGUCGGUGCUACAGAACUUAAAAGUCCUUAAUGUACAAAUUACAAUAAAGCAGUACGUAGAAAUUCAGUUUCACAAUCUGACAUAAGUUUUUGCUGUAAAUAAAUUUUAAUUAUGAAGUGAUGAACUUUCUUACUUCGCGCAGGUAAUUCAUGAUGCCGGUGGAUACUUUCUCGCAGAAACUGUCAAAAUACCGUUUUCAUCAAUUGAGAAACGUUCGCUGAUAGGAUGGCAACGAAGGAAAGUCUCAGGAAAGGGCUGACUAUCUCUGCUUGAAGGCCUACAAGACAACAUGAAUCAAACAAUUUUUAGGAAAUUAGAAUUUUUCUUAUCCAGAUUCUCACUUUGUUAUAGGAUUAGAUCUCACAUAAAUGUUUACUCCAAGUCCAGAAAUGACAAGCCAUCUACAAAUGUAAAUCAACAUUGUCUAAUUUUUCUCUUUGUAGAGUCAGUAUUGUAUAUAUUAAUCAUUUCUCUCUAAAAAUAAUAAAUUUAAUAACUUAUUACAAAGGAAAUGUUAUGACUUAUAAUUUAUCUAAUAUCCCUCUUUUGUAUAAACAAUAAAUAAAUUAUCCAAUCCUACAAACAUGGCCUAGUUUUAAUAUCUCAGAAAUAACAUGAAUGACACAUCGAAUUAACAUGACUAACUCAGAAAAAAAAUUAAUUAUCCAAUCCUACAAACCUGGCCUAACUUUUAAUAAGUCAGAAAUAACAUGAAUAACUCGAGAUAUAAAUAAAUUAUCCAAUUGAAUUAUUUCAACAGAUAUCCGUAAACAUGCACUCCAAGUGCAUUGCAAUUUUCCAUCAUUUUGGUCCUCACAUUUUCCAUUAGUUUCAAAGUGUUAUUUCUGCUUUCAAAGUGUUUGAUAAGUUUCAUCAUCUUGUGUUUGUACGAGGUAAACGGAAAAUUUUGAAGAAUUUAGAAUUUUAGGCAAUUUAAAUGAUUCAAUUAAAUUUUUUUUAUUUUUAAAUAUUUUUGUUUGGAUGGAGUAAUUGUCAUAAUUUUUGGGUAACUUUUAUAAAUUUUAAUUUAUUUUGGCCAAAUUUGGAAAUUUAAAUUAGCGGUCAAUUUGUAAUUUUCUAAAAUUUCGAGGGGUCAAUUUAUAAUUUUUGAACAUUUUUAGGGGAAAAUUUGUAAUUUCAAAAAAAAAAUAUAGGGGUCAGUUUGAAAAUUUUGGAAAAUGUGUGAACCAAAAUGCAAAAUUUGAACAACUAUAAUAAUGAAAAAAUUUAUCAUCCAAACAAUAGAAUCCACCUAAAAGUCUUUGAAUUCUCUCAAAACAUUACAUGGGUCAACUUAGUGGUAAAGACUUGAAUUUGUAACUUCAAGAGACAUUGUUCAAAUCUCGCAUGAAACAGUUGUAAAAUGAUCAUUAGUUCCAUAAUUAUUAAUAAUAGAUUUUAAGGAAUAAAUUCUACAAAAUUUCAAUUAUUUUAUAAUAAUGCAUUUUUGUUUAUAAACAAAACAUUUUACUUGUUGAUAUUUGUAAAUAUAUAUAAAUACAUUAAUAUCCACUAAUACUCGUGUAGCGGAUAUUCACACGAAUGUAAGAACGGUCUAAAUAUCAGUUUUAUCAACUAACUACUAUGUAUAUCAUGUGGACAUCGAUUAUCAUCCCUAUUAAUAGUAUAGUAGCAACAACAAUAAAAUUAUUAUUAUAUUAUUAUAUGAUAAUGAUAAAGUCACACUUCUAUUAAAAAGAAAUAAUCUCAAAAUAUAAAGAGAGAAAAAAUUUGAUAAAGUCCAAAUAAUAAUACAAAUCUCACGAUAAUUGAUUCAAAAUUGAUAAAUGUUUAUUAGACAUUCAAAAUAGUUGCAACAAUUUUUUGUGAAUAUAUAAAGAAAGUAACAUUUAAGAAGAACAAAUAAAAGAAACAUUGAUAAAUUUAUUCUUUUUCUGGUAUUGCUUGACAAAUGAAAAUGUUCAACAUCAUUCCUUUUUUUCUUAUACGCCACAAAACAUAGUAAAAUAAAAUUAAAACAUACUAACAAAUAAAUGAGUACUUUUCACUUUUUAUUCUGAGUAGAAAAAUGAAAUACCCAUUAAAAAAUAAACAAUAAUAAUAUGGAAGAAAAAAAACAUAAGAAAAAAUAUAUUGAGAGGAGAAUAUUCAAAGAUAAAUAAUAUAAAUUAAAAAAUAAAACCCUAAUAAAUAAAAUGGUUGAAAAGUGUGUUAGAACAACAAUGGUUCAUACAAGUCCUCUAAGGUUUUGAUGAUAACAAAGUAUUGAAGAACAAUUGGAAUACUAACAUACGUUCAAGUGUAUAAAAUCUAUCUAUCAUGAAGAAAUAACAUAUGAAGAGCAUAAGAAGGAACUGGAGAAGCCUAGAAGACUAUGAUGGAAGAUCUAAAAGAAAGUCAACCAGAAGUCAACAUCAUUAGAAGAAAGAUGUCUCAAAGAAGCUGAAGAGUGACCUCAAGAGAUUCCGUGAAGGCCAUCAGACACAUAAUAUGUCUGGCAUACUUGGAUCUGAGGGACCCGAAAUGCAGGUAAAUUUUUGUCUAAUAUUGUGAGCUGUCUAUACCGUAGUAUCUGAUAGAGGAGUUCUUUUGUCUUCUUCUGUCUACGUGUGCAACUAGACAAAGGACCUUAAGAACAAAGAGAAUACAACACGUAAUUCAUCUUUCAGCAAAGGAAAUUCAAAAGAUUUUCCAACGGAAUUAUCCAUAUCAGGCAAAGAGUCAACUUUCUUGAUCAAAGUUAUCCAACGACUCUAUUUGCAUUGGAACUUUUCCAACGUCUCUUAAAUCACUGCAUAUAAAAGGAGUUGAAGACCUGAAGCAGAAAUAACAAGACUAUGUUAUUUUUAUAUGCCAAAUCUCCGUCAAAUCAAAUAGCGCAAAACACUUAGAAUUUUAGCUUUCAAGUUUAUAUCUUAGAAAUCCUAAGGAGUCUGUUCAUUUGUUCAGUUCACUACCAUUGUUAAAUCUAGUGUAAGAAAAAAGUAACUUGUAACACCCCGUUAUCCCAACAAUUAAUAAUAAAUAAGAUAAUCAGAGUUCCUCCACAAACAGGCAUGUCACACUGCUUUUCAAAAUUUCUUAAAUAGAAAUAAAUACUAUUUAAUAAACAUCAAUAAUUUGCAGCGGAAUAUUUUUCGAAAUAUCUAACAUCAACAUCCAACAAUAAUCCUGGCACAAAGGCCUCAACAUAAAUAUUCACCAAAAUUGUUCAACAACAAUAAAAGGCUACAUCAGCAUGUUCCAAAAUUGAUACAUAAGGAAUGAAAAUAAACAACUAAUUCUCAUCCUGUUACGUAUCAGAGCCCUAGACACUUGAGCCACCACUCUACUAUUCUUCAUCACCUGCAAGUUACCCAUAGGAAGGGCAACAUUUCCAAGCAGAAGGGGUGAGAUUCACAAACAAUAAUAAUAGAUGAGUAAAUAGUCAAUUUUCCCCCUGAAAUUGUAAGUUUCAUCAAUUACCCCCCUGAAAUUAACAAAACAUCAAUUACCCCCCUAAAAUUUCACAACGUUAGUCAAUUUACCCCCUCCGUCAAAUUUUUCUGUUAGUGAACAUGACGUUUUGCAAAUACCCCCCUGAAGUUUUGCACUUAUGUGCAAAAUGCCCCCCAAACUUAAAAAUUUAUAUUAUUUUUUUCUUAAAAACAAACAAUUAAUAGUUAAAUAUUAAAGCUAACUAUUAAUUUUGGAGUUUGGAAAAACUACAUACAUAUAUACAUCAAAAUAGGGAAAAAUGUGUAUUUUUAAAGUGACAAUAAUGGUUAUUUCUAAUAGACAAAUUAUUAUUUUUAGAGGUUUAUAAACAAAUUAAUAAUCAGAUUUAAAUUUAUAUUUUCUCCUUCACCAUCUUAGUCUUUUAACUCCUCCAACUCCUUCAACAAUUUGCUCAAACCAUUUAAACUACACAACCCCCAAUAUUAAUCCACAAAUCAUCCCAUUAUUGUCACUUUAAAAAAUACAUAUUUUUUCCCAUUUUGGAGCCUAUUUUGAUGUAUAUAUGCAUGUAGUUUUCCCAAAUUCCAAAAUUAAUAGUUAGUUUUAAUAUUUAACUAUUAAUUGUUUGUUUUUAAGAAAAAAAUAAUAUAAAUUUUUAAAUUUGGGGGGCAUUUUGCACAUAAGUGCAAAACUUCAGGGGGGUAUUUGCAAAACGUCAUGUUCACUAACAGAAAAAUUUGACGGAGGGGGUAAAUUGACUAACGUUGUGAAAUUUCAGGGGGGUAAUUGAAGUUUUGUUAAUUUCAGGGGGGUAAUUGAUGAAACUUACAAUUUCAGGGGGGAAAUUGACUAUUUACUCAAUAAUAGAUAUAUAAUUCAUCAAUCGAAUCUAACACCCUAAAUAUCAUCAAUACAUCAUUAUAUAUAUAUAUAUAUAUAUAUAUAUAUAUAUAUAUAUAUAUAUAUAUAUAUUUCAUGAUCACAUCAUUAACAUCAUAUUCAUCUUCAAUCAAUAGUAAGAAUUAUUACUCAAUCACCAACGACGACUAAUGCAAUGACAUGACAACACCACUAAGACUCCUCAACAAAUGCGACUAUACACAUGCAUAUGGUACCAUUUUACAGGACAUAAGUCCUCACCGAAUUUGAAUGGUUAAAGCAUUCAGAGGGCAUAAGAGUUUGUUGGAUGCAUGUGUACAAAUUAAAUUCUUAAAGAAAUAGAAUUAAUACUACAAAAUAAAUAAAUAAUUGAAUCACAUGUUAUGCAAUUAUUUAAUCACUUUCCAACAUCAAUAAUUGAAUCACAUGUUAUCACAAUGGGGACUCACUUCACACAGGCUGUAAUAUAUAUUUCCUCUUUUGAGAGACACAACCUGCAAAACCACACAUAGACUGCAAAACCACUACUCUCUAUUGAAAACUGUUGGCUUUCUCUCUCUCAGCUGUAUUGCAUUUAUUUUUAUUAUUUACAAUUAAUUGUUUUGAAACAGUUAAGCAUUAUAAUAAUAAUCUUUUUUUGACUAAUGUACUACUUUAUAUCAUAUUUAUUUAUAUUUAUCACUAGUAUUUAUUUUCCUUUAAUUUUCAUUGAAAGCUUAGCUACCUGCAAACCUGAAUCUCUUUACUACACACAGUACCAACUAUUUGCUUUUUAUCAAUGCUUUUCUCAGUACUUCAAUUAUUCAUUCACAACAUAACCGUUUAUUUUUCUUCAGCCUUAUCUCUUUACUAUAUACACGCUACCAACUAUCCUUAUUCUAAAUCUUCAUAGUUCAGAAAUUCAUUCAAGAUUUAGACAUUUAGUUACAACAUCAUUCCUUGCUACUUUACUUUAACAAUAGAAAAUGGCUGCAACUUUGGUGGGAGGGGCUUUUCUCUCUGCUACUGUUCAGACUUUAGUUGAGAAACUUGCUUCACAAGAGUUUUGUGAUUACAUAAGAAACACCAAGCUGAAUUCCUCGCUGUUUGCAGAGUUGGAAACAACACUGCUCGCUCUUCAGGCGGUGCUGGAUGAUGCAGAACAUAAGCAAAUCACCAACACUGCUGUCAAACAAUGGUUGGAUCAGCUGAAAGAUGCAAUCUAUGAUGCUGAGGAUUUGCUUAACCAAAUCAACUACGACUCCCUGCGAUGUACGGUGGAGAAGAAACAAGCUGAAAACAUGACUAAUCAGGUUUGGAACCUCUUUUCGUCUCCGUUUAAAAAUCUCUAUGGAGAGAUCAAUUCACAAAUGAAGAUUAUGUGUCAAAGGCUGCAGAUUUUUGCACAACAGAGAGAUAUCCUUGGCUUGCAAACUGUGAGCGGGAGAGUUUCUCUAAGAACACCUUCAAGUUCAAUGGUAAAUGAAUCUGUUAUGGUUGGUAGGAAGGAUGAUAAAGAGAGACUCAUUAGUAUGUUGAUAUCUGACAGUGGCACUACCAAUAGUAGUAUUGGUGUGGUUGCAAUUUUGGGUAUGGGCGGUGUUG